CAGCUCUCUCUUACAAUGUGUAGAACGCAACCGUGAUCACGCUCUACCGCCGCCGGCGCAAGACGGCCUCGCCCGACGCAGGACGCCACCUCCUUCCGACAAGAUGCUGCCGCCGCCGCCCAGCGCAGGAAGCCGCCUCUGCCCGGCCCGCCACCUCCUUCCAGCGCAGGCCACCGCCACCGUCACCGUCACUCAACACAGGAAGCCGCCUCCGCCCGGCGCAGGACGCCACCCCCAUCUUGAUCUAUGCGAAUCAACGUCCUCACCCAAGCAAACGCCUCUCACCUCCACCGCGUCGCCCGCCUCCGGCCCUCGCCUCCACUGCGCCGCCCGCGCACUCCUCACGAAGCUGACGCAAGCACCGUCGCCCCCCUACACCUCUUUGCCCUAGCGCUCGUACGCCGCUGAUCCGGCGCCAUCGCUCCCACCGAUCCACGCCAUCACGCGAUUCACGCCGAAGGGCCCUCCCUGCGCAAGAUGCAUCCCCGUCCCUGCAUCACCGCCGGCCGCUAGGUCCUAGGCUCCCUCCUCCACCUGGUCUUGGUGACGCACUGACGCCCAGAUCUAAGGAUGACAACAGCACAGAGGAGGUCAUCGGCUGUGGAGUGGUGGGAACCCGCAGGAGGGGAAGGAGAUCCCCUACCGCCAGCUCGCCAAUCCAAUGCCUCUCCUCUGUCCCAAGCCCUGGAACCGGAGGAGGCAACUGAUGAAGCCAGAAAUAAAAAACAAACCUGGCAGCAUGUCCAUUCAUCAUCAUGUAUUAAGUUGGAUAUGAUCCAUACUUCAUAAAGAAGCUGGUUAUCGUAGAACUACAGGCGACAUGAAAGUGGCAAUCCUCCGAGGAGGCUGCCUUGGAUUCAAGUAUAAUGGCCUAACCGAUCACCCGGGAGUCACCGAACACCUCUACCAAAACCAUUAAUUCAAAGGAAAGAUGACCCAGCUGCAAUAUUGAAGUCAAGGCUGGAAACCUUCCACGUACAAACUAAGCCUGUGAUUGACUACUACAUCAAGAAGGGCAUAGUCGCAAAUCUUCAUGCAAAAAAGCCACCAAAGGAAGUGAGUGCUAAGGUGCAGAAAGCCCUGUCAUGAAGUGCAUGUUCUUCAGCCUAAACAUGCAUGUUCUUCAAUGAUUUAAGGGAGGAAUCCCUUCAAUCAUCCUGGCAAACCAUCUAAGAUACAAACAAUUGUCACUUGGACUAAUUUUUUCAAACAAUUGCCGCUACAUAGAGGUUGUGCAUCUGUACAAAAUUUCUUAUUUGAUACCACUAUUUAAAGUAGUAAUUUUUAUCUGUUUUGAAUAAAUUCAAGUUAUGUUCGUUCUAUAUUUCUUACAACUUAGGAUUCAGAUAUGCAUAUAACUUGCAGUGCACAACUUGUACUGAAAUCAAGUCACUAAAGCUUGCUGCAGAUACCUGCAGGUAAGGUGAAACCAGUUUGUAAUAUUUUUCAUGUCCUUUAAUUGCUUAUGUCAAGUUUUUAGUAUGGAAUGAAAAUGUUGUGGUUCAAAAUUGAAGUACUGAGAUAUAGCUAUGGAGUACUGAGAUAUAACUAUGGGUUAGCUGGUUUGUGUGUUGAUGGGUUUGGAUGGUUUUCUGAUGCAUGCUUAUGAAAAAGAAUGAGCUGUAGCUGUACCACCUCCAAGCCCAUUACAUCGGUGCACAGAAAUGAGAUGUAG